rnacentral:lncRNA from 1 species
UGGAAAACAGCCAGGAAUUAUCUAUAAUUUCAGUCUCUGGGUGGCGUGUCGGUUUUUUCUUUGUUUUGUAAAUUUUCUGUAAUAAGAUGUCUGUAGCAUGCGGCUUGUCACAUCUGCAAGGGAGCUGCCUGGAUUUGCCGGGGCCUGUUUUCUGAAAAAUGGACCACUUAAAAAGUACUUCUUACAGAUUCUUGAUAACCUGUUUCACAAUCCUAGGCAGUUGUCAGCUACAUAGCCUUAAAUUUGCAUACUAAAGGAAAUAAAGGUGAAAAUCAAAUAGAAAAAUUUACAU